UACGGGGGGAGCAAGCGUUGUUCGGAUUUACUGGGCGUAAAGGGCGCGUAGGCGGCCACCGCAAGUCGACUGUGAAAUCCCGCGGCUCAACCGCGGGUCUGCAGUCGAUACGGGCAGGCUAGAGUUCGGUAGGGGAGACUGGAAUUCCUGGUGUAGCGGUGAAAUGCGCAGAUAUCAGGAGGAACACCAAUGGCGAAGGCAGCUCACUGGGACGGUAUUGACGCUGAGACGCGAAAGCGUGGGGAGCAAACAGG
rnacentral:rRNA from 1 species